rnacentral:rRNA from 1 species
GACAGAGGGUGCAAACGUUGUUCGGAAUUACUGGGCUUAAAGCGCGUGUAGGCUGCCUUGCAAGUCGGGUGUGAAAGCCCUGGGCUCAACCUAGGAAGUGCACUCGAAACUGCAAGGCUGGAGUCCUGGAGAGGAAGGCGGAAUUCUCGGUGUAGAGGUGAAAUUCGUAGAUAUCGAGAGGAACACCGGUGGCGAAGGCGGCCUUCUGGACAGUGACUGACGCUGAGACGCGAAAGCGUGGGGAGCAAACAGG